rnacentral:rRNA from 1 species
AACCGGCGCACGGGUGAGUAACACGUGGACAACCUGCCUUAGAGUCUGGGAUAACCCGUCGAAAGACGAGCUAAUACCGGAUAAGACCACGGGAAGUUCGCUUCCUGAGGUAAAAGAUGGCCUCUGCUCCUGCAAGCUAUCACUUUGAGAGGGGUCCGCGUCCUAUCAGCUAGUUGGCGAGGUAACGGCUCACCAAGGCUAAGACGGGUAGCUGGUCUGAGAGGAUGGUCAGCCACACUGGGACUGAGACACGGCCCAGAGUCCUACGGGAUGCAGCAGUCAGGAAUAUUGCGCAAUGGAGGAAACUCUGACGCAGCGACGCCGCGUGGGUGAUGAAGGCCUUCGGGUCGUAAAGCCCUGUCGGAGGGGAAGAAAAGUCUGUUGGCUAAUAUCCAGCGGACCUUUGACGGUACCCUCAAAGGAAGCACCGGCUAACUCCGUGCCAGCAGCCGCGGUAAGACGGAGGGUGCAAGCGUUGUUCGGAUUGACUGGGCGUAAAGGGCGUGUAGGCGGUUUGUCAAGUCGGGUGUGAAAGCCUGGGGCUCAGCCCCAGAAGUGCAUCCGAAACUAGCGAGCUAGAGCGCGAUAGAGGAGGGUGGAAUUCCUGGUGUAGCGGUGAAAUGCGUAGAUAUCAGGAGGAACACCGGCGGCGAAGGCGGCCCUCUGGAUCGUUGC